rnacentral:rRNA from 1 species
UACGAAGGGGGCGAGCGUUGUUCGGAAUUACUGGGCGUAAAGGGCGCGCAGGCGGCCUUAAAAGUCAGAUGUGAAAGCCCCGGGCUCAACCUGGGAAUGGCAUUUGAUACUCUGAGGCUGGAGUACGGGAGAGGAGAGUGGAAUUCCCAGUGUAGAGGUGAAAUUCGUAGAUAUUGGGAAGAACACCGGUGGCGAAGGCGGCUCUCUGGACCGUAACUGACGCUGAGGCGCGACAGCGUGGGGAUCGAAACAGG